UACGAAGGGGGCUAGCGUUGCUCGGAAUCACUGGGCGUAAAGGGCGCGUAGGCGGCCCCUUUUGUCGCGUGUGAAAGCCCCGGGCUCAACCUGGGAGGUGCGCGCGAAACGGGGGGGCUUGAGUUCGGGAGAGGAGAGUGGAAUUCCCAGUGUAGAGGUGAAAUUCGUAGAUAUCGGGAGGAACACCGGUGGCGAAGGCGGCGACCUGGGUGGAUACGUGACGCUGAGGCGCGAAAGCGUGGGGAGCAAACAGG
rnacentral:rRNA from 1 species